AUUGAACGCUGGCGGCAGGCCUAACACAUGCAAGUCGAACGCGUGGCGGAGGGGUGAGUAAUGUCUGGGAAACUGCCUGAUGGAGGGGGAUAACUACUGGAAACGGUAGCUAAUACCGCAUACCAUCGGAUGUGCCCAGAUGGGAUUAGCUAGUAGGUGGGGUAAAGGCUCACCUAGGCGACGAUCCCUAGCUGGUCUGAGAGGAUGACCAGCCAAACUGGAAAGGAGACACGGUCCAACAUCCUACGGGAGUCAGAAGUGGGGAAUAUUGCACAAUGGGCGCAAGCCUGAUGCAGCCAUGCCGCGUGUAUGAAGAAGGCUUUCGGGUUUUAAAGUACGUGCAGCGGCGAGGCGGUAUACGCAGAAGAAGCACCGGCUAACUCCGUGACAGCAGCCGCGGUAAUUC
rnacentral:rRNA from 1 species